rnacentral:rRNA from 1 species
GACAGAGGGUGCGAACGUUGCUCGGAAUCACUGGGCGUAAAGCGCGCGUAGGCGGACCGGAAAGUCGGUUGUGAAAUCCCUGGGCUCAACCCGGGAACUGCAUCCGAAACUCCCGGUCUAGAGUGACGGAGAGGAUAGUGGAAUUCCCGGUGUAGAGGUGAAAUUCGUAGAUAUCGGGAGGAACACCAGUGGCGAAGGCGGCUAUCUGGACGUCCACUGACGCUGAGGCGCGAAAGCGUGGGGAGCAAACAGG